UACGUAGGGGGCGAGCGUUGUCCGGAAUUAUUGGGCGUAAAGAGCGUGUAGGCGGUUCGGUAAGUCUGCCGUGAAAACCUGGGGCUCAACCCCGGGCGUGCGGUGGAUACUGCCGGGCUAGAGGGUGGUAGAGGCGAGUGGAAUUCCCGGUGUAGCGGUGAAAUGCGCAGAUAUCGGGAGGAACACCAGUAGCGAAGGCGGCUCGCUGGCAGCUCUCGACGCUGAGACGCGAAAGCUAGGGGAGCGAACAGG
rnacentral:rRNA from 1 species